UGAUUUUAUUUGUUGCGUUUCCCGCCAUUGGUUGGGCAGGGGGCGUGUUUUUCAAGUCAACUUGUGAGCCGAGCGCUCCGUUUCCGGUGAGCCGUCGAACGUUUGCCGUUGUUAACAUGAGGCUAAGCUAGCCGAGCGCUUGACGGCGAGCGGCGCCCCGGCCGGCAGAACGCGCCGACUGCGGCAGUUCUCUCCGCAGUCGGAAGAAGAGAUGAGCCGCCACGAGGCCUCGAGAAGCUGACGGGUUUAACGGGGGGGAAAUUGUCGGCAUCAGUAUGGCCAGCUGCAACCCGAACUCCGGGCUUGUCUCCGAUCCCGCAGGUGAGCGCCCCGAUUGCCGCCGGGCCCAGCAACGCUCGCAUUCGCAUCAUGACCGCACGGGCUGCUCCAGCUGAAGAUCAACGCCCAAUGUCGCAUCACCAGCACGUCCGGGCGGAGGACGGAGGCGGGCGUUCGGAGCCGCAGCCUUUCCUGCGUGGCCUUCUUCCACGCCGUCUUUGUUGAAGGGAGCCCCACAAGCCGAGCCGCACCCGCCGGCACCUCGGAGGAGAGCCGCUCCGCGGUAGCGCGACGCAGACGCGCGCCGCUUGCUCCUGAGAAGGCCGGCGUCCGACCGCAAGUGUCCUUUCGGCUCAGUCGGUGCGGGGGCCGCCGCCGCGUCGAGCCCGUCCACCUGG